CGAACAACAAAGUACCAACUUUACAUGCAUUUUCCAUCCGACCAAAGUCCCUCCCACUUUUUCCGAGGAAGAUCGCCGUCGAGCCCCACGCACGCAGCACCAUCAUCGUUUCCCUCCCGUUCACAUUCAGAUGGAUCGUCGCGAAUGCCUUCUCCUGCUCGUGCUUUCAGCGACGCUCUUCAGUUUCGGCGCCUCUUGCUCCAAUGGUGAAUGCAGGCUUCUUGAUGAAUGCUCGAGCGAUAGCGACUGCGAGGCCGGUCUCUAUUGUUUCUCCUGCCCUCAAGGCUUUUCGGGUUCCAGAUGCGUAAGAUCGACCAUUACUGACCAGUUCAAGCUCUUGAACAAUUCUCUUCCUUUAAACAAAUAUGCAUUCUUGACAACCCACAAUGCGUAUGCUAUUGAUGGAGAGCCACUCCACACGCCCGUACCAAGAGUGACCUUUACAAAUCAAGAGGAUACAGUCACUCAACAGCUAAAUAAUGGAGUUCGAGGGCUGAUGCUAGAUACAUAUGACUUCGAAGGAGAUGUAUGGUUGUGCCAUUCUUUUAAAGGUCAAUGUUACAACUUCACCGCAUUUGAACCGGCUAUAGACACUCUCAAGGAAAUCGAAACUUUUCUAUCUGCAAACCCGGCGGAGAUAGUCACUUUGAUACUCGAGGACUACGUUCAGGCGCCAAAUGGAUUGACAAAGGUCUUUACUGAUGCUGGCUUGAUGAAAUACUGGUUUCCGGUAUCAAACAUGCCAAAGAAUGGUCAAGAUUGGCCGCUAGUUAGUGACAUGGUGGCUAAUAAUCAGCGGCUGCUCGUGUUUACCUCCAUCCAGUCUAAGGAACAGAGUGAAGGGAUUGCUUAUCAGUGGAAUUACAUGGUUGAGAAUCAAUAUGGUGAUGGUGGAAUGCAAGCAGGAAGCUGUCCAAACAGAGCUGAAUCAGCGCCUCUUGAUGACAGGAGCAAGUCCUUGGUUUUGGUGAAUUACUUCCGGUCUCAGCCCAUCAAGCUACUCAGUUGCGAGAACAACUCGGGCGACCUCAUUAACAUGCUUCGGACUUGUUAUGGCGCGGCUGGCAACAGAUGGGCUAACUUUGUUGCUGUUGAUUUUUAUAAGUUAUGGAAAAGCAUCAACACCAGAAGCUCUAUGCUUUUAUGCAGAGGAGCGAGGGAGGAGGAUCAUUUCAAGCGGUAGACACUCUAAACGGGAAGCUGCUAUGCGGAUGUGACGAUGUGCACGCUUGCGCGCCGGGUUCGACUUCUGGGGCAUGCUCUCCAUAGAAAACAAGAAUAUCCUGAAUAGAACAAAGGGAACUACAGUGACUGCUACAACUAGGAAUAGUAAAACGCACACUGCAAUUCAUGACAAGCGUCCGACAAAUGCAGGAUUCAAAUUAAUUGUUGCUGCAUUUUUGUUUUAUGUAAGACUACAGUGACUCGGUCGGAAUAGCAGAACCUACCAAUCAAGAGAAAUGAAAA